UUAAGCGACUAAGCGUACACGGUGGAUGCCCUGGCAGUCAGAGGCGAUGAAGGGCGUGCUAAUCUGCGAUAAGCGCCGGUAAGGUGAUAUGAACCGUUAUAACCGGCGAUACCCGAAUGGGGAAACCCAGUGUGAUUCGUCACACUAUCAUUAACUGAAUCCAUAGGUUAAUGAGGCGAACCGGGGGAACUGAAACAUCUAAGUACCCCGAGGAAAAGAAAUCAACCGAGAUUCCCCCAGUAGCGGCGAGCGAACGGGGAGGAGCCCAGAGCCUGAAUCAGCAUGUGUGUUAGUGGAAGCGUCUGGAAAGGCGCGCGAUACAGGGUGACAGCCCCGUACACAAAAGCGCAUGUGCUGUGAGCUCGAUGAGUAGGGCGGGACACGUGGUAUCCUGUCUGAAUAUGGGGGGACCAUCCUCCAAGGCUAAAUACUCCUGACUGACCGAUAGUGAACCAGUACCGUGAGGGAAAGGCGAAAAGAACCCCGGCGAGGGGAGUGAAAAAGAACCUGAAACCGUGUACGUACAAGCAGUGGGAGCCCCACCACUAAGCCAGUGGUGAACUCCACAUCCGCAUCCUUUGCUGAGGAUACGGUUAACGGAGCGAAAGCGACGUUCAACCGCAAAACAAGCAGAGGGGGCUUAGUGGUGGGGUGACUGCGUACCUUUUGUAUAAUGGGUCAGCGACUUAUAUUCUGUAGCAAGGUUAACCGAAUAGGGGAGCCGGAGGGAAACCGAGUCUUAAUUGGGCGUUAAGUUGCAGGGUAUAGACCCGAAACCCGGUGAUCUAGCCAUGGGCAGGUUGAAGGUUGGGUAACACUAACUGGAGGACCGAACCGACUAAUGUUGAAAAAUUAGCGGAUGACCUGUGGCUGGGGGUGAAAGGCCAAUCAAACCGGGAGAUAGCUGGUUCUCCCCGAAAGCUAUUUAGGUAGCGCCUCGUGAAUUCAUCUCCGGGGGUAGAGCACUGUUUCGGCUAGGGGGCCAUCCCGGCUUACCAACCCGAUGCAAACUGCGAAUACCGGAGAAUGUUAUCACGGGAGACACACGGCGGGUGCUAACGUCCGUCGUGAAGAGGGAAACAACCCAGACCGCCAGCUAAGGUCCCAAAGUCAUGGUUAAGUGGGAAACGAUGUGGGAAGGCCCAGACAGCCAGGAUGUUGGCUUAGAAGCAGCCAUCAUUUAAAGAAAGCGUAAUAGCUCACUGGUCGAGUCGGCCUGCGCGGAAGAUGUAACGGGGCUAAACCAUGCACCGAAGCUGCGGCAGCGAACGUAUCACCCAAGACAACUUUACGGAGUUGACGAUUGACGGAGCGAAGCGACGUCAAAGCGUUCAUUAAAGUCGAGUUGGCUUAGGGAUACGUUCGUUGGGUAGGGGAGCGUUCUGUAAGCCUGUGAAGGUGUGUCGUGAGGCAUGCUGGAGGUAUCAGAAGUGCGAAUGCUGACAUAAGUAACGAUAAAGCGGGUGAAAAGCCCGCUCGCCGGAAGACCAAGGGUUCCUGUCCAACGUUAAUCGGGGCAGGGUGAGUCGACCCCUAAGGCGAGGCCGAAAGGCGUAGUCGAUGGGAAACGGGUUAAUAUUCCCGUACUUGGUGUUACUGCGAAGGGGGGACGGAGAAGGCUAUGUUGGCCGGGCGACGGUUGUCCCGGUUUAAGCGUGUAGGUGUGUGUUCCAGGUAAAUCCGGUUCACUUUAACACUGAGGCGUGACGACGAGGCACUACGGUGCUGAAGCAACAAAUGCCCUGCUUCCAGGAAAAGCCUCUAAGCAUCAGGUAACAUCAAAUCGUACCCCAAACCGACACAGGUGGUCAGGUAGAGAAUACCAAGGCGCUUGAGAGAACUCGGGUGAAGGAACUAGGCAAAAUGGUGCCGUAACUUCGGGAGAAGGCACGCUGACACGUAGGUGAAGUGAUUUACUCAUGGAGCUGAAGUCAGUCGAAGAUACCAGCUGGCUGCAACUGUUUAUUAAAAACACAGCACUGUGCAAACACGAAAGUGGACGUAUACGGUGUGACGCCUGCCCGGUGCCGGAAGGUUAAUUGAUGGGGUCAGCGCAAGCGAAGCUCCUGAUCGAAGCCCCGGUAAACGGCGGCCGUAACUAUAACGGUCCUAAGGUAGCGAAAUUCCUUGUCGGGUAAGUUCCGACCUGCACGAAUGGCGUAAUGAUGGCCAGGCUGUCUCCACCCGAGACUCAGUGAAAUUGAACUCGCUGUGAAGAUGCAGUGUACCCGCGGCAAGACGGAAAGACCCCGUGAACCUUUACUAUAGCUUGACACUGAACAUUGAGCCUUGAUGUGUAGGAUAGGUGGGAGGCUUUGAAGUGUGGACGCCAGUCUGCAUGGAGCCGACCUUGAAAUACCACCCUUUAAUGUUUGAUGUUCUAACGUGGACCCGUUACCCGGGUUGCGGACAGUGUCUGGUGGGUAGUUUGACUGGGGCGGUCUCCUCCUAAAGAGUAACGGAGGAGCACGAAGGUUGGCUAAUCCUGGUCGGACAUCAGGAGGUUAGUGCAAUGGCAUAAGCCAGCUUGACUGCGAGCGUGACGGCGCGAGCAGGUGCGAAAGCAGGUCAUAGUGAUCCGGUGGUUCUGAAUGGAAGGGCCAUCGCUCAACGGAUAAAAGGUACUCCGGGGAUAACAGGCUGAUACCGCCCAAGAGUUCAUAUCGACGGCGGUGUUUGGCACCUCGAUGUCGGCUCAUCACAUCCUGGGGCUGAAGUAGGUCCCAAGGGUAUGGCUGUUCGCCAUUUAAAGUGGUACGCGAGCUGGGUUUAGAACGUCGUGAGACAGUUCGGUCCCUAUCUGCCGUGGGCGCUGGAGAACUGAGGGGGGCUGCUCCUAGUACGAGAGGACCGGAGUGGACGCAUCACUGGUGUUCGGGUUGUCAUGCCAAUGGCACUGCCCGGUAGCUAAAUGCGGAAGAGAUAAGUGCUGAAAGCAUCUAAGCACGAAACUUGCCCCGAGAUGAGUUCUCCCUGAGACUUAGAGUCUCCUGAAGGAACGUUGAAGACGACGACGUUGAUAGGCCGGGUGUGUAAGCGCAGCGAUGCGUUGAGCUAACCGGUACUAAUGAACCGUGAGGCUUAACCUU
rnacentral:rRNA from 1 species